rnacentral:tRNA from 1 species
AGGAUUUUAGGUUAUUUAAACUUUAAAUUUUCAAAGUUUAAGAAAUGUGUUUUCAUAGGUUCUA